UUCACUGGUUUAAAAGAUUGUAAAUUCAUGAAUACAGAAAUAGAAAGAGACACCUACCUGUACCACAAUGCAAGGAGAGAGGCAUUUUCAAGAUGGCUGUCAUCUGUAUCAGGGGAGAUAAUUAGAAAAGAAGUCCAUGAAAGCAAAUACAAGGUUCUGUUGUCAAGUUGAAGCACCUAUCCAAGAAGCUGUUGAGUUAUAUGAGAGAGCAUUUAAAGGGACCAGUGAGAAUCAGCAAUAUUCCCGCCCUCCAUUACUGUGCUACCUCAAGGCUGAGGACUCCGAGGAAGUGGAGGUUUCUGUAUGAGACACAUGUUAUCAUAUCCUUUGUCUGUACUGUCAGAAAUGUCGCCAGUUAGAAAUUCUCCUGAUCACUACAUCAACAUAAUGUCCUCUGGAUUAUAGACCCAGUGCAGAGAAGAGUGGAAGUUAAGCAGACAUUCCGCCCCCAAUGGAGAUUUGUCCCAUUCACAUUUACCCAUCAUCCACCAAGAAGAGUAUGUGGAAAAUUUAUCAUCGCCUUAGCCCAGUGAAGGGUACAACCAAACAUACACUUGAUGGUGAGCUGCAAUAAAACAAAAUAAACUGAUGUCAUGAAUGCUGAAUGAUUUAGACUCAGUUAUACCUGUGUGAUCCAAUUGUUGAAAUAAAUAAGGGAGAUAACCCAAAUUUAGACUAUACAAUAAAAAGGAGUAUUUUAGAUAAAGAGUUUUGUCCUUUAAAUACUCCUUCUCCAGUUGGACAAAAUGAAGGAAGACAAUUGUAUUGGGCAGACAAGAAAUUCUAUGAGAUACGGACAUCCAAAAUUUACAGCUGAAAAAAAGGGAAUGACCUGUGUUCAUACUGUACAAUCAGUUCUUCUAGAUUACAGCGAAGGCUUCAGUUCUUGCCUUUCCCAGUCCCAGAUGAAGAUGGUUAACAUUACAGAGACUUUAAUGAGGAUGCAGUAUCUAAGAGAGGAGAACAAUUAUACAUGUGGUAACAGUGGUGAAGAUUUUGGGUUUGUAACAAAAUGGAGUCUGCCUUACACCUCAGAAAUUGAACUUACAUAUCAUGGACAAGGGGUCAGAUCUUGCCUACCACCAUGCUGUAUUUACUGUGGAGACAACACCUGCUUGAGGAAAUAGAUCUGUAACUUUAUGAAAAGUUUUCGCGUGUACAUCUAUUAGUGUAACAACCAGUUGAGAAAAUGGUCAAGAAAACUUGGGAGUCAUCAAUUCUUCAAGAAAAAAAAGAGAAGUGAUAUGUGAGCACAGUUCAGUAAACAAAUGUAUGUUGUGUAAAAACAUGCUCCAGUGGGCUUAAUCAACAUUGACAUUACUUAUAUAUAGAUCUUUUGUGGAAAUUACUUUAAGUUUUGUGAUGUAAGGAAUGUGUAUGAAACCAGUUAAGGUGAUUUAUUCUAAUUUGAAUUAUUAUUCAGAUAUAAAAUUUUCAAAGCAGUUUUUGUUUUCAUUCAAUUUUACAGUUCAUUUUGUUAUAUAACACAUGUUAGCCAUGCUAUUUAAAAAAAUUUUGUUUGCAGAGCUACAAUUGAUCUUUCAAAUUGACUUUGCCCAAAUCUUUUUAAUAGUUACUAAAAUGUUCAUUUAUAACAUGUUUUUCCAUGAAUUUUCAAAUAUUGGAGUGAAAUAUAUCUGACAUUUGCACAAUGAAAAAUAUCAAAUACAUGUUCAUGUAUAUUUUUCACUGUUGUGUAUAUUUUUUCACUGUCGUGUAUAUUUUUCACUGUCGUGUAUAUUUUUUCACUGUCGUGUGUAUUUUUCACUGUCAUAACUUGAAGUAAAAAGAAAAUUUGUUUUACAUGUAAGAUUGAAUACCUUUCACUCAUGUACACCAUAUCUUACAUUUUCACUUGUGGCUAUGCCACUCUUAAAAAUUUUGCAUCUGAUGUUCACUUGUGAAAGAUAAUUCCAUCUGAUUUUAUAAACUAUCACAACAAUUGCCAUGUGGGGUUACUGGUCCUUUGGAUUGUGGAGACUAUGUUUGAGUUUGCUUUAACAGAAUUAUGCUGAGGCCAGUGUUAGGGAUGUAUGAGUGGUGUAGUACACUUCAUUACCGCUCAUGAAUAGACAGUUGGGUAUUUUUACUUCCUUUUUAGCUCGACUUUUCGAAGAAAAUGUAGAGCUAUUGCACUCGCCCCGGCGUCGGCGUCAGUGUUGGUUAAAGUUUUUGAUAAAGUCAAAUAUCUCUGUCACUGUCAAAGCUAUUGACU
rnacentral:lncRNA from 1 species